ACAAUGUGGCCAUGCAGUGGAUGCAUCUCAUCGUUGAUCUUCCAGGUGGAAAGCCAUUGUAGACAUGACCUGAAUCCUGCUUUCCAAAGCCAGAGCAUCGGUGCUAAAGAAUUUAGCACAACGUCUGAACAAAACAGAUGGAAUAUGGGGCCUGCACA